rnacentral:rRNA from 1 species
CGGCGGACGGGUGAGUAACACGUGGAUAACCUACCUAUAAGACUGGGAUAACUUCGGGAAACCGGAGCUAAUACCGGAUAAUANAUUGAACCGCAUGGUUCAAUAGUGAAAGACGGUUUUGCUGUCACUUAUAGAUGGAUCCGCGCCGCAUUAGCUAGUUGGUAAGGUAACGGCUUACCAAGGCAACGAUGCGUAGCCGACCUGAGAGGGUGAUCGGCCACACUGGAACUGAGACACGGUCCAGACUCCUACGGGAGGCAGCAGC